GUUCUGAACAACCUGGAACAUUUAGUCCUGCUCUUUUUUCUUCUUUCUACUCAUUUUUUCUUGCUACCUCAGAAAGCCCUUUAAAAACUUCCACAAAACGUUCCAGAAAGCCAGGUGUGAUGGUACACAUCUGUAAACACAGCACCCAGGAAGGAAGAUGGAGAGGUCAGCCUAGGCUACAGAGUAAAGCCUGUUUCAAAAUGAACAACAAAAGCUACUCAGACAUAACUACCCACCUAUGUCAAGGACAGCAGAAGAAUGAUGAUGCUCUCUACCCACUGAAUCGUAGAACUCUCUGAGUAGGCUUUAAAGUUCUCCAAGAAGAUGUUCCUUCAUUCAAGGAGAGAACUCCAAGAAAACAGACUGUUACCUCCUUACGCAGGCCUGCAUAGCAGAAUGAAGGUCAAGAGAUUUGUGGAGAUGAAUAUCAAGAAAGGUAAAUGGCUGCUGGGAAACACUGCAGCCUCAGCACCCCGUCUCCCUUGGAAACUACAGAAAGCUUGCACUGUCACUGCCAUCCAGCAAGCCAAGGCCAAUAUAAUUUGCUAAGAAGCUGCUACUAGGAAGGAGGAGAAAAAGGGGAGGAGAAGAAAG